CUUUCUCUUCUCUCCGUGUGUGUGUGUGUGUGUGUGUGGAGGCCUAACCUGUACCUGUAGAAGGCAGAAUUUCACAUUCGCGUCACUCCACGUUUUUACCCAUUGCACAUGACUGCACGUCAAAAAUACAAACAGCCGCACGUGCCAAGCACCUUGAGUUCAACUUUAUUUUCGAAUAAGACAUUACAUCACUUCCGGGUUUCUUGGCGUUCAGAUCAGUGCUCUGGCAGAGAGAGGAGAGCGCGUGCCUGGGGUGGAAGAGAUGAAGCUUUUCUUCCAGGUGAACCAAAAUGCGCUUCAGGACUGUUGCAGAUGAAGAGAAUACCAUAAGGCCUGCUUUCACUUUUUAUGCACUUGAUUUAGCAGACUACUACGCUUCGAGAUUGAUCACACUCCUCGUACAUGAACACAUCAUCUUUCCAUGUCGUCUUCUCCAAAACGUAUUGGCCGUGUACAGAUUUUUUUUAGAUUUGCACUGUGGAGAAGGAAUGUUCACCUGCAUCCCUAUCCUCCAAGUCCAUGUACUUCCAGGAUUCUGCAAUGUAGAUUACUUCCUCCAGGGAGUCUGGAGAUUAUCCCAGAAACUCAUCCAGCUCAACAGACAGGUCUGGCUCACCUCCAGAAAAAAUAGACCAUAUCAUGCAGAGCUGCAGCCAAGCCAGAAAGCCCAAAAUUAUAUCUGACACUUUGCAUCAUGUCAACUUUUAUACUCUUUUAUACUGCCAGUUUAUCUUUUAUUCCCAAGCCCUUUGCAGAUUGUUUGUUUUUUUUUCCCCCAGCAGCCAUGUUAAAGGCUGUUAAUGUGUUAGUUUGUGUUGUACUGUAUUUGUGCAACACAAUUACUGUGUCCAGUGAAAGCUUUGCAGAUGUGUCUUGCAAACUCUCACCUGCUGUUUGUACAAGCUGCAUUCGUUUCCAGUGCACACUGCCCUAAUUGUUUUGUGUGGGUUUUGCUCUGUGAAGCAGACACGGAGUCAGUAGCUGCCAGGAUAAUUACAGAGCAAGCGCUUUCAAUGAAAGGAAAAGAAGCACUUAGUAAUCCAUGGGUCUGGUGUAAAACAGAAUCUGACGUCGUAGUGUACAGCAAAAUGUAUUAUUCCGACCUGAUUUAAAUGUAAAAGUACAAACAAGGACAUGAUGCUGCACUGGAUACUUUAUUUUAUUCCGUCUGUAUUUUUCCAUUGGGUUCGUUUCCAUUUUCUUUUAGAAUUCAUUCUUAUCUUCCUGAAUGACAUGUCAAAACAGAAUUGGUGAUUGGAUCCUGCACUGAUGCCAGAGAUUGCCUGCUGGCUCAGCGGGAUCUUGGGUCUUCAGUGGUGCGAAUGGGCACAUCUUUGUCUGGCCUUGCCAUUGCUUAGGCGCUCUUUUGGAUGGGAACACAUGUCACACCCAAAAUCACCAUGCCAAGCACCAGCAUACAGGCUCUGGCUGACCGAUGGCAAAGAGCAGAGUGCCCACUGUGAACCUGGUGGCCAUCACCACCUCCACUUGACACAACGCUUGCCAGUUGUCAGAGAUAGAGGGAUCAAAAUGGAGACCAAAAUGUGCACCAUGUUUUAAGACUCUUAAUAGAUAUAAAUGUAUUUGGGAAAGUUCCAACCAAACGUAUUUAUAAACCUGAAUACUUAGAAGGUAUUAUCUUUCUUUCUUUCUUUUAAAAAAUUCUUUUAAAAAAAUUUUUUCUAGCUGAAUUUCCAAUCAGCCAAAUUUCAAACCAUUCACAAAAACAUUUACAGCAUUUGGUAGAUGCUCUUAUUAUGUUGAGGGUUGAGGGCCAUGCUCAAGGGCCCAGCAGUGGCAGCUUGGUGGUGCUGAGAUUUGAACUUGUGACCUUCUGAUUACAAGUCCAGCAUCGUAACCACUGAGCUCUCGCCUCCCAACAAAAUCCAAAGCUAAUAUUAAUUAAGAAUUUUUUUUUAAUUGAAAAAAAGACAAAGUCAUUAAUUUUUUUUAAUGUUUAAAAUGUUGUUGCUUUCUAUGUGGAAUAAAGCACUUAAGCAUA